GAUGAAGAACGUAGCGAAAUGCGAUAAGUAAUGUGAAUUGCAGAAUUCAGUGAAUCAUCGAAUCUUUGAACGCACAUUGCGCCCCUUGGUAUUCCAUGGGGCAUGCCUGUUCGAGCGUCAUUUGUACCUUCAAGCUUUGCUUGGUGUUGGGUGUUUGUCUCGCCUUUGCGUGUAGACUCGCCUUAAAAUAAUUGGCAGCCGGCGUAUUGAUUUCGGAGCGCAGUACAUCUCGCGCUUUGCACUCAUAACGACAGCGUCCAAAAGUACAUUUUACACUCUUGACCUCGGAUCAGGUAGGGAUACCCGCUGAACUUAAGCAUAUCAUAAGCGGAGGA
rnacentral:misc_RNA from 1 species